rnacentral:misc_RNA from 1 species
AUGUAUAAGACUGAUCCCUCUUUUCAUACUAGGAUCAUUGAUCCUUCUUUUAAUCCUAGGAUCAGUGCCCAGCCUUCUGUCACAUGACCUGCCUAUCCUUCAGUGACCAAUUAUUGAAGUUUUAACAUGAUUUUUUAUUAUCUGAUGACCAAUCAUUAUUUUAAACAAAUUGACCAAUUAUAUUCGUUUUUAACAGAAUCUUUUAUUUCCCUAAUGACCAAUCAUUGAAUUUUUUGCUUAUCUUGAUAACCAAUCGGUCCUUGGCUUCCAUUGGGUACUCUGAUUUUGUAGUUCACUUUGUGCCAGUUUAUUAAUGUUUUUUGUAUGUUCCACUUUUGACCACUGCCAUAAAAUUCAAUAAAGACCUAAUAUUUCUU